GACGAACGCUGGCGGCGUGCCUAAUACAUGCAAGUCGAACGCUUCUUUCCUCCCGUGUGCUUGCACUCAAUUGGAAAGAGGAGUGGCGGACGGGUGAGUAACACGUGGGUAACCUACCCAUCAGAGGUGGAUAACACUUGGAAACAGGUGCUAAAAACGUAUAACAGUUUAUGUCGUAUGGCAUAAGAGUGUUAGGCCAUUUCGGGUGUCGCUGAUGGAUGGACCCGCGGUGCAUUAGCUAGUUGGUGAGGUAACGGCUCACCAAGGCCACGUUGCAUAGCCGACCUGAGAGGUUGAUCGGCCACACUGGGACUAAGAACCGGCCCAGACCCCAACGGGAGGCAGCAUCGGGAAAUCUUCGGCAAUGGAGGAAAGUCUGACCGAGCAACGCCGCGGGAGUGAGGACGUUUUUCGGAUCUUAAAACUCUGUUGUUAAAGAAGAACAAGGUCGUAAGUGACUGAACGUCCCCUGACGGUAUCUAACCAGAGAGCGACGGCUAACUACGUG
rnacentral:rRNA from 1 species